UCGCUAUUUGCUUCUUUCUUCUUCAAAGCCUCGAAUCCCUCUCCAUUUGGCGAGCGAGCGAGAGAGAAGACACCCGAGCAGCACCAAAGGAUUUAAUCUUUGCUUGCAUCUCCGAGUGUCCUUUUCUAGGUUGACCGGCCUGUCAGGUUCCAAAUCCUUCUCAUUAGUCACUGAGAAUUCUACAAUAUAAAUUGGUUCAAGAGAAGUGGGAAAAAUUGCACAUUCUCUACAAGCUGCUGGAGGGUUUUUAGCCCUUUUCUUUGCCUGCUUAACAGCAGUUUAUAUUUGGUCCUUAUCGGUUGCAAUAUUUGCCAUUUCCAUCACAACUAGCUUAACAAUCUUGAUUGUUGUUAUAGCUACAGGUACUUGUCCUUAACUUGUUCCUCUAAUACUACUAGUUUGCUCCAGUUUCUUUUGUUUUCAAUGAUGGAUUUGGAUCAAUCCUUCAUGAUUUGGAGCAUUGCUUAGAUGAUUUUUUCUCCCUGAGCCAAUUUUUCAUCCAUUGCACUACUUGGGCUGCAGUUAAUGGAACCUGAAGAAAGUGAUAUUUGAUAUGGUUACUGAUAAUUCCUUUUCAAGUAGCUCAAGUUUUUACCUUUAUAA